UCAAUACACAUGGAUUAAGGU
rnacentral:miRNA from 1 species